GUGUUCGCUUCGGCAGCACAUAUACUAAAAUUGGAAUGAUACAGAGAAUAUUAGCAUGGCCCCUGCACAAGGAUGACACGCAAAUUCGUGAAGCGUUCCACAUUUUU
rnacentral:snRNA from 1 species